UCUCCAACAUAUUUCCAAAACCACCACAAAUCCCCUAAAAUAUAACAAUAUUGACACAAACCCACAAAUUAUCUCCUUAAAUCUACCACAAAAUUCCCAUUCUCAACCCCACCUAUAGCACAAGAAACCAAAACCUCCCUUACCC